UGGGGAAUAUUGGACAAUGGGCGCAAGCCUGAUCCAGCCAUGCCGCGUGAGUGAUGAAGGCCUUCGGGUUGUAAAGCACUUUUGUCCGGAAAGAAAUCCUUGGCUCUAAUACAGUCGGGGGAUGACGGUACCGGAAGAAUAAGCACCGGCUAACUACGUGCCAGCAGCCGCGGUAAUACGUAGGGUGCAAGCGUUAAUCGGAAUUACUGGGCGUAAAGCGUGCGCAGGCGGUUUGCUAAGACCGAUGUGAAAUCCCCGGGCUCAACCUGGGAACUGCAUUGGUGACUGGCAGGCUAGAGUAUGGCAGAGGGGGGUAGAAUUCCACGUGUAGCAGUGAAAUGCGUAGAGAUGUGGAGGAAUACCGAUGGCGAAGGCAGCCCCCUGGGCCAAUACUGACGCUCAUGCACGAAAGCGUGGGGAGCAAACAGGAUUAGAUACCCUGGUAGUCCACGCCCUAAACGAUGUCAACUAGUUGUUGGGGAUUCAUUUCCUUAGUAACGUAGCUAACGCGUGAAGUUGACCGCCUGGGGAGUACGGUCGCAAGAUUAAAA
rnacentral:rRNA from 1 species